ensembl:lncRNA
CGACGCCCUCUAAAUCAUCCUGAUUGUUGGGAAAGAAAGAGGAAGGGGCAAAGUCCCGCUGAGGCCAGACCACCCCAGAAGCUCUCUCACCUGCCUGCUAUGCGACCUGGGCUCACCGUUGUUGCGUCCAUGCAAAGCACCGUUAUUAUGGCGAACACAGUAAAUAUUUCACAUUUUCAAAAAGAGAGCAGUUUUCCUCUUCCAAACUCGUCAGCGGCCUGCCAUCUGACACUAUCCAGCCUCUUGUCACAUGGGCCGAGGCCUGGCACGCCAUCCCCGGAAUGUCCAAGUGGGUGUUGGGGAUAAUAAAACACGGCUACUCACUAGUGAUUCCCACUUUGGUAGAGCCGGACGACGCUCAGGUCCUCUGCACCGAAGUGAUGACGCUGUUAAGGAAGGGAGCCAUAGAGCUGCAAUACUGGCUGAAACUCCGGGUCCCACCUCAUGCUUGGCGGCACGGCCGCUUUUGCAUCAGGGUCAACCAGGCCUGUCUAGCAGCCCUGGAGCCUUGGAUGAACCCUGUUUGGUUCAGUCAUGGAGUACCCCUACAGGCAGUUUCCAGAAGGACGGUGCUCUCAACAGAUGCGUCCAACCUGGGUUGGGGUGCUCUGUGCGAGGGCAGACCAGCCUUCGGCUCGUGGUCACACGAGGAGAGCCAUCUCCAUAUCAACUGCUGGCAGUGGAACGAGCCCCCACGUCCUAGUCCAGUCAGACAGUAUGACAGUGGUGUCCUACAUAAAUCACCAAGGCGGCCUUUCGUCCAUUUGCCUCUGCGCACUGGCAAAGCGCCUCUUGGAAUGGGCUUUACCCAGGCUGCGAUCGCUCAACGCGGCGCAUAUACCUGGCAAGACGAAUCUGGGAGCAGACAUGCUUUCGCGGAGCAAUGUCCCCUCGGACGAGUGGAUGCUCCAUCCCCAGACGGUUCUCAAAAUCUGGGAGAUUUUCGGGAAGGCAGAGGUCGACCUCUUCGCCUCAGAAAACAACUCUCAUUGCCCAACUUAUUUUUCAAAGGACACAGAUGCGCUGGCCCACGACUGGCCCAGGCUCCUUCUUUAUGCUUUUCCCCCGAUCGCUCUGAUCCCUCAGGUCAUCAGACGAGUCAGGGAAGACAGGCACAGAGUCCUCCUGGUGGCCCCACUCUGGAGGAGCCAAGUUUGGUCCUCGGAGCUAUUCAGGCUUUCCAUGAAAGCCCCAUGGCCGAUCCCCCUGAGGCGGGACCUCCUCUCUCAGGCGAACAGGACAAUCUGGCAUCCACAGCCAGAACUCUGGGCUCUGCAUGUAUGGUCCCUCGAUGGGAGCCUCUGAGCCUCCCCGGGGACAUGCUACACACCAUUGCUCAGGCGAGAGCCCCGUCUACAAGACGCCUCUAUGCCCAGAAAUGUUCAGUCUUCGUUGACUGGUGCUCAGCACGAAACGAAGACCCUGCUGAGGGAGACGUAUCUCCGAUACUGUAAUUUCUCCAAGAGCGUCUAGACAAGGGUCUCACCCC